rnacentral:rRNA from 1 species
AGCUAAUACCGGAUAAUAUAUUGAACCGCAUGGUUCAAUGGUGAAAGACGGUUUUGCUGUCACUUAUAGAUGGAUCCGCGCCGCAUUAGCUAGUUGGUAAGGUAACGGCUUACCAAGGCAACGAUGCGUAGCCGACCUGAGAGGGUGAUCGGCCACACUGGAACUGAGACACGGUCCAG